UGGUAGUNCACGCCGUAAACGAUGAGUGCUAGGUGUUAGGCCCUUUCCGGGGCUUAGUGCCGGAGCUAACGCAAUAAGCACUCCGCCUGGGGAGUACGACCGCAAGGUUGAAACUCAAAGGAAUUGACGGGGGCCCGCACAAGCGGUGGAGCAUGUGGUUUAAUUCGAAGCAACGCGAAGAACCUUACCAGGUCUUGACAUCCCGAUGCUAUUCUUAGUGAUAGGAAGUUACUUCGGUACAUCGGAGACAGGUGGUGCAUGGUUGUCGUCAGCUCGUGUCGUGAGAUGUUGGGUUAAGUCCCGCAACGAGCGCAACCCUUAUUGUUAGUUGCCAUCAUUAAGUUGGGCACUCUAGCGAGACUGCCGGUAAUAAACCGGAGGAAGGUGGGGAUGACGUCAAAUCAUCAUGCCCCUUAUGACUUGGGCUACACACGUGCUACAAUGGUCGGUACAACGAGUUGCGAGCCGGUGACGGCAGGCUAAUCUCUGAAAGCCGAUCUCAGUUCGGAUUGGAGGCUGCAACUCGCCUCCAUGAAGUCGGAAUCACUAGUAAUCGCGGAUCAGCACGCCGCAGUGAAUACGUUCCCGGGCCUUGUACACACCGCCCGUCACACCACGAGAGUUUGUAACACCCGAAGUCGGUGAGGUANCCUUUUAGGG
rnacentral:rRNA from 1 species